GUACCAGCUCCUACGGGAGGCAGCAGUGGGGAAUAUUGCACAAUGGGGGGAAACCCUGAUGCAGCGACGCCGCGUGAGCGAUGAAGUAUUUCGGUCUGUAAAGCUCUAUCAGCAGGGAAGAAGAUGACGGUACCUGACUAAGAAGCCCCGGCUAACUACGUGCCAGCAGCCGCGGUAAUACGUAGGGGGCAAGCGUUAUCCGGAUUUACUGGGUGUAAAGGGAGCGUAGACGGCGAUGCAAGCCAGAUGUGAAAGCCCGGGGCUCAACCCCGGGACUGCAUUUGGAACUGUGUGGCUGGAGUGUCGGAGAGGCAGGCGGAAUUCCUAGUGUAGCGGUGAAAUGCGUAGAUAUUAGGAGGAACACCAGUGGCGAAGGCGGCCUGCUGGACGAUGACUGACGUUGAGGCUCGAAAGCGUGGGGAGCAAACAGGAUUAGAUACCCGGGUA
rnacentral:rRNA from 1 species